UCGAUACUAAAUGAAUAUAAUCUCAUAUAUGAAUAUAAAAAAUAAAAACACUAUAAAUUUAAAUUUAGAUAUGAAUUUUGACUUUACCUGCUCAAUUGAUUUUAUAUUAAUAUAUAUAUAUGUAUUUAAUUUUGUAUUUAAAUUUAUAUUUUAAAAAUUUAAAUUUAAUAUAAUAUAUUUUAAAAUAUUGUAAAGAAAAAAAAAUAAUUAUUUCCGGUUUGUAUUUAUAUUCAGUUUCAAAUUUUUCUGAUCAGAAUCAGAUUUAGAUGUAUAUUUUUAAAAUCUAUCGAAUUUAGUUUCGAAUUCAAAUUUUGAAUUUCAUAAACAGAUU
rnacentral:lncRNA from 1 species